CUAAUACAUGCAAGACGAGCGGCAAGAGAUGUAGCAAUACAUUUCCUAGAGUGUCGUAAGGGUGCGUAACAAGUAUGCAAUCUGCCCUCAACUGGAGGAUAGCUCGCCGAAAGGCGAAUUAACACUCCAUAAGAUUGUGGACCGGCAUCGGUCAGCAACUAAAACUCCGGUGGUUGAGGAUGAGCAUGCUUCUGAUUAGCUAGUUGGUAGUGUAACGGACUACCAAGGCGAUGAUCAGUAGGGGAACUGAGAGGUUGAUCCCCCACACUGGCACUGAGAUACGGGCCAGACUCCUACGGGAGGCAGCAGUAGGGAAUAUUGGUCAAUGGAUGCAAGUCUGAACCAGCCAUGCCGCGUGCAGGAAGAAGGCCUUCUGGGUUGUAAACUGCUUUUGCCGGGGGAUAAAAAGCCCAUGCGUGGGAACUUGAAGGUACCCGGUGAAUAAGCCACGGCUAACUACGUGCCAGCAGCCGCGGUAAUACGUAGGUGGCAAGCGUUGUCCGGAUUUAUUGGGUUUAAAGGGUGCGUAGGCGGUCCUAUAAGUCAGUGCUGAAAUAUCCCGGCUUAACCGGGAGGGUGGCAUUGAUACUGCAGGACUUGAGUAGAGUUGAGGUUGGCGGAAUUGACGGUGUAGCGGUGAAAUGCUUAGAUAUCGUCAAGAACACCGAUAGUGAAGACAGCUAACUAAGCUCUAA
rnacentral:rRNA from 1 species